rnacentral:rRNA from 1 species
CCCUUAGAUGUUCUGGGCCGCACGCGCGCUACACUGAUGCAUUCAACGAGUCUAAAACCUGCUCUGAUAGGGGUGGGUAAUCUUUUGAAUGUGCAUCGUGAUUGGGAUAGAUGAUUGCAAUUUUUCAUCUUCAACGAGGAAUGCCUAGUAAACGCAAGUCAUCAGCUUGCAUUGAUUACGUCCCUGCCCUUUGUACACACCGCCCGUCGCUCCUACCGAUUGAAUGAUCCGAUGAAUAUCAUGGAUUGAGGAUUAUAGCAGGUUCGCCUGUCUUGAUCUUCGAGAAGUGAAGUAAAUCUUAUCAUUCAGAGGAAGGAGAAGUCGUAACA